AAAGUCUAGCUUAUUUUUUCCAUACUACACAAUUUUUAUAGAUCUACUCCAAAUCGAAUAAUUUUUAUAUCCUUGAAGUUGAAUGAAGAUUACUACCGAACCUUGCAUGUCUGAUGGAUAAAUGUAUAAAGGAUGACUGUGAUGAACUAGAUCCAUGUCAUGAAGGUUUGGAGCUGGAGAUAUAGCACCAUGAGCAGCAGUGACGAAGAAUUGCCAUUAUGUUUCUUCAAAACACUUAGUUAUGUUACUGAUUUGGAACAACAACAAGCAAUUAGAGAUGAAUUGUACAGUAAUUCGUCAAGAUUUAACUGAAAUUAACAAGUUCCAGAAACCCUAGGUUGCAGAAGAACUUUUCCAGAUUGAAGAAAUAGCUCGAUCUAUGACAAAUAUAGUUCUCUAAUACUCCUCCGUAGUAACUGAGCUGACCGAUUUACCACAAAUAUAGUUCUCUAAUACUCCUCCUUAGUAACUGAGCUGACCGAUUUACCAAAACUCUAAUACUACUACUAUUUGAUUUCAUCAUUACUGAUGGCGAAGAUUUGUGUUGC
rnacentral:lncRNA from 1 species